rfam:Stegodyphus mimosarum contig126830, whole genome shotgun sequence.
GCCUUAGUGGGGUAGUGGCCAGCACGCUCGACGCGUAACCGAGAGGUCCGUGGUUCGAUUCCCGGCGAAGGCG